GGGGGUGAAAAGCCCCCUCGCCGUAAGCGCAAGGUUUCCUACGCAACGUUCAUCGGCGUAGGGUGAGUCGGCCCCUAAGGCGAGGCAGAGAUGCGUAGCUGAUGGGAAACAGGUCAAUAUUCCUGUACCGAUGUGUAGUGCGAUGUGGGGACGGAGAAGGUUAGCUCAGCCAACUGUUGGAUAUGUUGGUUCAAGCCUGUAGUCGUGCCUGGUAGGCAAAUCCGCCGGGCUUAGAUGAGGGGUGAUAACGAGUCUGCUUGCAGACGAAGUGAGUGAUACCCUGCUUCCAGGAAAAGCCACUAAGCUUCAGCUACACACGACCGUACCGCAAACCGACACUGGUGCGCGAGAUGAGUAUUCUAAGGCGCUUGAGAGAACUCUGGAGAAGGAACUCGGCAAAUUGAUACCGUAACUUCGGGAGAAGGUAUGCCGCAAGUAGGUGAACUUGUACAAAGGGAGCCCAAAGCGGUUGCAAAAAAUCGGUGGCUGCGACUGUUUAAUAAAAACACAGCACUCUGCAAACACGAAAGUGGACGUAUAGGGUGUGACGCCUGCCCGGUGCUGGAAGAUUAAAUG
rnacentral:rRNA from 1 species